ACUCAAAGGAAUAGACGGGGGCCCGCACAAGCGGUGGAGCAUGUGGUUUAAUUCGACGCAACGCGAAGAACCUUACCUGGGCUCGAACGGCUAUUGACCGGUGGCAGAAACGUCACCAUUCCCGCAAGGGACAGUAGUCGAGGUGCUGCAUGGCUGUCGUCAGCUCGUGUCGUGAGAUGUUGGGUUAAGUCCCGCAACGAGCGCAACCCUUGUCCUGUGUUGCUAAUCGAAAGAUGCACUCUCAGGAGACCGCCAGCGAUAAGCUGGAGGAAGGUGGGGAUGACGUCAAGUCAUCAUGGCCUUUAUGUCCAGGGCUACACACGUGCUACAAUGGACGGUACAAAGCGCAGCAAACCCGCGAGGGGGAGCCAAUCGCAAAAAACCGUUCUCAGUUCGGAUUGCAGGCUGCAACUCGCCUGCAUGAAGCUGGAAUCGCUAGUAAUGGCAUAUCAGAAUGAUGCCGUGAAUACGUUCCCGGGCCUUGCACACACCGCCCGU
rnacentral:rRNA from 1 species